UAAUUGAAGAGUUUGAUCAUGGCUCAGAUUGAACGCUGGCGGCAGGCCUAACACAUGCAAGUCGAGCGGUAACAUUUCAAAAGCUUGCUUUUGAAGAUGACGAGCGGCGGACGGGUGAGUAAUGGCUGGGAACCUGCCCUGAUGUGGGGGAUAACAGUUGGAAACGAC
rnacentral:ncRNA from 1 species